rnacentral:rRNA from 1 species
UACGGAGGGGGCUAGCGUUGUCCGAAGUUACUGGGCGUAAAGCGCGCGUAGGCGGGUUGGUAAGUCCGCUGUGAAAGCCCGGAGCUCAACUCCGGAGGGUCGGUGGAUACUGCCAGUCUUGAAGGUGCUAGGGGGAGAUGGAAUUACCGGUGUAGCGGUGAAAUGCGUAGAUAUCGGUAGGAACACCAGUGGCGAAGGCGGUCUCCUGGGGCAUUCUUGACGCUGAGGCGCGAAAGCCAGGGGAGCGAACGGG